UAAGGAAUAUUGGUCAAUGGACGCAAGUCUGAACCAGCCAUGCCGCGUGGAGGAUGAAGGUCCUCUGGAUUGUAAACUUCUUUUAUUUGGGAAGAAAUGUAAGAAUUCUUUCUUACUUGACGGUACCAGAUGAAUAAGCACCGGCUAACUCCGUGCCAGCAGCCGCGGUAAUACGGAGGGUGCAAGCGUUAUCCGGAUUUACUGGGUUUAAAGGGUGCGCAGGCGGAUAGGUAAGUCAGUGGUGAAAUCCUGCAGCUUAACUGCAGAACUGCCGUUGAUACUAUCUAUCUUGAAUGCCGUAGAGGUUAGCGGAAUAUGUCAUGUAGCGGUGAAAUGCUUAGAUAUGACAUAGAACACCUAUUGCGAAGGCAGCUAACUAUGCGGUGAUUGACGCUCAUGCACGAAAGCGUGGGGAUCAAACAG
rnacentral:rRNA from 1 species